GAUGAACGCUGGCGGCGUGCCUAAUACAUGCAAGUCGAGCGAACGGACGAGAAGCUUGCUUCUCUGAUGUUAGCGGCGGACGGGUGAGUAACACGUGGAUAACCUACCUAUAAGACUGGGAUAACUUCGGGAAACCGUAGCUAAUACCGGAUAAUAUUUUGAACCGCAUGGUUCAAAAGUGAAAGACGGUCUUGCUGUCACUUAUAGAUGGAUCCGCGCUGCAUUAGCUAGUUGGUAAGGUAACGGCUUACCAAGGCAACGAUGCAUAGCCGACCUGAGAGGGUGAUCGGCCACACUGGAACUGAGACACGGUCCAGACUCCUACGGGAGGCAGCAGUAGGGAAUCUUCCGCAAUGGGCGAAAGCCUGACGGAGCAACGCCGCGUGAGUGAUGAAGGUCUUCGGAUCGUAAAACUCUGUUAUUAGGGAAGAACAUAUGUGUAAGUAACUGUGCACAUCUUGACGGUACCUAAUCAGAACGCCACGGCUAACUACGUG
rnacentral:rRNA from 1 species